AUUGAACGCUGGCGGCGUGCUUAACACAUGCAAGUCGAUCGGUAACAGGUGUAGCAAUACAUGCUGACGAGAGGCGGACGGGUGAGUAAUGCUUGGGAAUCUGCCUAUUAGUGGGGGACAACCCGGGGAAACUCGGGCUAAUACCGCAUACGCUCUACGGAGGAAAGCCGGGGACCGCAAGGCCUGGCGCUAAUAGAUGAGCCCAAGUCGGAUUAGCUAGUUGGGGGGUAAAGGCCCACCAAGGCGACGAUCCGUAGCUGGUCUGAGAGGAUGAUCAGCCACACUGGAACUGAGACACGGUCCAGACUCCUACGGGAGGCAGCAGUGGGGAAUUUUGGACAAUGGGGCAACCUGAUCCAGCCAUUCCGCGUGAGUGAAGAAGGCCGUGGUUGG
rnacentral:rRNA from 1 species